CAAUGGCCUAACGGCUGAACCAGCAACUUGCAGGAAUGAGAGUUAAUAUAAAUGAUUUAUUAACUUGCUUGACUAGGUCUUAUAAAGUUCUGGAUAAAGCUGAUAAUGACAACUUUAUAUCCAUAGGUCUCGACUAAAUCUUGUGCCAGCAGUCGCGGUAAGACAAGGGAGACGAGUGUUAUUCAUCUUGAACAGGUAUAUUGGGUACCUAGACUGUGUAUGAAGGCUUUUAUAGUACCUACUACACUAGAGUUUAAUAUGUGAGAGGAAGAUGUCAGAAUUAUUGGAGUAGAGAUGAAAUCCUUUAAUACUAAUAGGACUGAUAAUGGCGAAGGCAAACCUCUAUGUAUAUGUACUUUCACUCAAACAAGAUUUAAACAAUAAAAGGAGUUAAGAGCUGAUAUUAGUUAGAUUCAUAUAUACAGCAGUAGUAAAGUACUAAACUGACGUUGAGGGACGAAGGCUCAGAGAGUGAAGAGGAUUAGAUACCCCCGUAGCCUGGGCAGACAAUGAUGAGUGCCAUAGGUUGGCUUUUAGUUGAACUAUAAAUGAAAGUGGAAGCACUCCACCUCAAGAGUAAUGUGGCAACGCAGGAACUGAAAUCAUUAGACCGUUUCUGAAACCAGUAGUGAAGUAUGUUAUUUAAUUCGAUGAUCCGCGAAUAACCUUACCACAAUUUGAAUGCUCUAGAUUAGAAUAUAAACACAAGAAAGGGCAUGACGUUAGGAUAGUUAUCUUUUGUCCUUUCUUGUGUUAUUUAGACCACAUGCGUUGCAUGGCUGUCUUCAGUUAAUGUCGUGAGAUUUGGUUAGGUCCAUUAAAUUAACGUAAACCCUUGUUUUAUUUAAUAUAAUAAGGCAGCUCUCCGCUUACAAUUGGAUUGAUAACAGGGACUAAGACAAGUCAUCAUGGCCUUAAUAUUGUGGGCUAUAGACGUGCCAC
rnacentral:rRNA from 1 species